rnacentral:rRNA from 1 species
AUACGGAGGGUGCAAGCGUUAUUCGGAAUCACGGGGCGUAAAGGACGCGUAGGCGGGUUGGCAAGUCAGAUGUGAAAUCCUACAGCUUAACUGUAGAACUGCAUUUGAAACUGCUAACCUAGAGUAUGGGAGGGGGAGAUGGAAUUAGUGGUGUAGGGGUAAAAUCCGUAGAUAUCACUAGGAAUACCGAAAGCGAAGGCGAUCUCCUGGAACAUAACUGACGCUAAGGCGUGAAAGCGUGGGGAGCAAACAGGAUUAGAAACCCUGGUAGUCC